rnacentral:rRNA from 1 species
CAAGAGCGUAUAUUAAUGCUGUUGCUGUUAAAGGGUUCGUAGUUGAAUUGUGGUCGUUCGGGUUCAUGUUGGUGAGUCCCCUUUAGCUUCGUGCAAAGUGGUGGCUCCCACGCCUGGCGAUCGUGAACAUUCAGAAACAAAUAACACGGGAUUCUGCUUCCUUCCAACAUCUCUCGCGUACAAUGCACGCAGUGUGGGGGGACGCCCGUGAUUUUUACUGUGACUAAAAAGCGCGACCAAAGCAGUCAAGCGACAUGAAUUUUAAAGCAUGGGAUAACAACGAAGCAGCCUGCGGAUUACCGUUUCGGCUUUUGUUGGUUUUAAAGAUCUGUGGGAGAUUAUGGCAUUGUAUGACAAGCGGUUCGGAGCUGGUGAAUUCCUGUUUCUCCUACGCCUUCCCGCCGUGUUCCUGUUUACGCAGGGCGCGGUCCGGUUUACUUUUGCUAGGAAUGAAGGAGGGUUGUUCGGGGGAGAACGUACUUGAGCGUGAGAGGUG